UACGUAGGGGGCAAGCGUUGUCCGGAUUUAUUGGGCGUAAAGAGCGUGUAGGCGGUCAUGUAGGUCCGUUGUGAAAACUCGAGGCUCAACCUCGAGACGCCGAUGGAAACCGUACGGCUAGAGUCCGGAAGAGGAGAGUGGAAUUCCCGGUGUAGCGGUGAAAUGCGCAGAUAUCAGGAGGAACACCGAUGGCGAAGGCAGGUCUCUGGGCCAUAACUGACGCUGAGAAGCGAAAGCAUGGGGAGCGAACAGG
rnacentral:rRNA from 1 species